rnacentral:misc_RNA from 1 species
UGUUAUAUGUUUCUGAUGCGCGUCUCGUAUAUUUUCCCAUCGUUUUACUAGUUAUUUACCGAGGACAAUGUAAAUUACUAUUUAUUUUUUGUUUCAGAUACUUGCCUAGCGGGUGUACUUUCACAGACCUACACAAAAAUAAGCAAAAUAGUAAAGGAAGAGUGUUUUAACAUUUCGCGUGUUAUGUUCCCAGAUUGUAUGUGUUGAGGAAAGGACAAUGUUCCACUUCCAAAAUUUUUUUCAUGUUAUUAUCACUCUAUGAAUUUAGGAUGUCUUUUUUGUCUAUGGCAGUUUUGUAAUAAUAAUAGUAAAGGUAAGAUUUGUAAGUGGUAAAUAUGUAAAUGAAGAAUAUAAAAAAAUAAAAGAAAAAGUGUUUAAAAGAUAAAAGCUUUAUUACUAUUCCUCGAUCCUGUCAAAAUAACCAACAGU